CAUUGCCCACUAUCUCACAAUCAAAUCUCUCUCACAUCGCUUCUCCCUCACUUCUUCUUCCAAAAAACCCUAAUCGCCGCUCAGAAGUCGAAUAGCCUCCAGUAAAAGUCAAUUCAAUCCCCGACGACGAGGCCACUGGUUAGAUGCAGAAACUGGACUACACCGGAACUGUUUCAAGUAUCAGUAUCAGUGGUUCAUCAGUAGCAUAAGCUUUUGGACAUGCCACUGGUCAGAUGCUUCCUUGUCUAUUAGCUUUUCCUAUGCCUGCUCGUACGGUUCCACUUGUAGAUACAAUUGGUGUUCUCGAUUUUGAUAUUGAUAUAAAGGAAGACGUCCAGGAGGAAUGUUCAAAAUUUGGGAGAUUAAAACACAUCUAUAUAGAAAAGUACAAGGAGGCCUAGAGUCGGUUACGAUGACAUGCCCAUUGCAUUAGCGCACCGGUUGUGGCAAGAAAGGCGAGAAGAAAUGGAGGACCGAACUUAGUUCUCAUCCCGUAGAGUUAAGAUAUCACUAGGGCUAGGGCAUAGUACCAACUCAGAUAUCAAAGUUCGUGUUUAUACAUACAUCAAAUGAUUUUAUUCGUACAUUAAUUACUGCAACCUUUUGAGUUGUC